AGGAGAAAGAGAAUGAGAGCUGCCCUGGUCCCAUCUGCCACGAUCAUAGAACUACAAUGACAGACUCAUUUCAAGGAAGAGAAACUAUGGAUUUCAAGUCACAAAUAAGGAAACCAAAGCUCAGAGAUAUUAAUGUCAAAGUACCACUGUUGAUAAGGGACAUAGCUGGAAUUGAAUCUCAGCUUCCUCUGGUUCAAAAGCCACUUUUUCCUACAAUAACCUGACCCACAGGAAUUAAAUGACAUCUUCCUUGAAACACCCAGGAACACUGUAGAGUGUGCAGAAGAAAGAAUGAAGCUGGACACAGGCUGCAGCAUGGAAAAACUAAUUGCCUAUGAUAUUAUGCAGGCUGGUUAAAGAGGUCCAGUGAAUUUUAUAAAAUUACCAAUGCAGUUAUGAACUCCAGGGACGAGAUUGCACAUGGAAGCCACAAGCUCAAGUGAAGUCAUAGUACUUGGCAGGAAAUGUAACUCAACUUUACAAAUUCAGGUCCUAAGACAAAGAACAGCAAGGUAUACAACAACUAGCACUCACUUGCACCUCUCUUCCGGGAUUUACUUUUCUCCAUAAUACUAAUUACAGUUGAAGAUACUAUAUAUCACUUUAAAUGCUUUUUACUGUGUCUCUCCAUGCACACUCCAUGAGCUGAGAAUUUUUGCUUCGUUUGGUCAGUGUUGUAUCUCCAAGGCCUAUGACAGAUCUCAACACAUGAUACACACUCAGCAAAUACUUUUAAGGAGAAAAAAAAUGAAUGAACCAGUAGAAUCAGCUCAUAUUUUAUUCUACCCCUAUCUGCCAUGCCAGCCUCAUCUUCCAGUAUCCACACCCCCACUCCAACCACACCCAAGUGCUUGCUAGUGGUCCUUGCAGU